GAUGAACGCUGGCGGCGUGCCUAAUACAUGCAAGUAGAACGCUGAAGCUUGGUGCUUGCACCGAGCGGAUGAGUUGCGAACGGGUGAGUAACGCGUAGGUAACCUGCCUGGUAGCGGGGGAUAACUAUUGGAAACGAUAGCUAAUACCGCAUGACAACAGUUAUUGCAUGAUAACUGUUUAAAAGGGGCAACUGCUCCACUACCAGAUGGACCUGCGUUGUAUUAGCUAGUUGGUGAGGUAACGGCUCACCAAGGCGACGAUACAUAGCCGACCUGAGAGGGUGAUCGGCCACACUGGGACUGAGACACGGCCCAGACUCCUACGGGAGGCAGCAGUAGGGAAUCUUCGGCAAUGGACGGAAGUCUGACCGAGCAACGCCGCGUGAGUGAAGAAGGUUUUCGGAUCGUAAAGCUCUGUUGUAAAAGAAGAACGAGUGUGAGAGUGGAAAGUUCACACUG
rnacentral:rRNA from 1 species